GUGGAGACAGAGCUGCCUAUUUUUUCCCCUUCCUUGAUUCCAGCGAGCAUGAGUUUCCUCGCAGCCCAGGUGGAGCCACACUGACCAGACCAGCAAUCAGUUAAAGGAUCUACUAAGGCCAUGUCUGUUCCAUCAUCCCUGAGCCAGUCGGCCAUUAAUGCUAACAGCCACGGAGGCCCUGCACUCAGCUUCCCCUUCCCCUUGCAUGCUGCCCAUAACCAGCUGCUCAACGCCAAGCUGCAAGCCACAGCUGUGGUACCCAAGGACCUUCGAAGUGCCAUGGGAGAGGGUAGUGUGCCUGAACCAGGCCC
rnacentral:lncRNA from 1 species